CACUUAGAGGAAGGAGAAGUCAAGUCGUAACAAGGUUUCCGUAGGUGAACCUGCGGAAGGAUCA
rnacentral:rRNA from 1 species